CCUGGUCAGUUUCUCACCUACAGUUUGGGAUUUGAGAGGUCUUCAGACUCUAGGUGACGUGAUGAUGCUGCUCAUCUUCAUCACCAGCUGUAUAUGUGAUGGAGGCUGAGGAUUGUGUGGAUGACCAGGAGCUUCAAUCUGAAUCCUGACCGCCUUCUGCUUCAGUGGUUUCUGACUCCAUGACUUGGUCAUCAUGGCAACCAUCUGGAUGACUGAGGUCCCUGAUUUGACUUUCUGAGAAUCAGGCCAAGGUCUCUCUAAUAUUGCUGAACAUCAGGCUGUUAACUGCAGAGCAUCAGACCUUAUCUGUGAUCCUCCCGACGGUUUCUCUCCUAACUCUUGGUUAGAG